AACUUCACCCACAGCUACCAUGACUUUGAUCCCCGUCUUCGUCUGGACACUGAUCCUCUGGACUCAAGAAUGCAGAGGUCAGGCCACAGUAACUCAGACUCCUGCAGUGAAAUCUGCUCUUCCAGGAGAAACAGUCACCAUCAACUGUAGAAUCAGUCAGGCAGUGUACAAGGGCUCAUCUGGUGACUGCUUAUACUGGUAUCAACAGAAACCUGGAGAAGCUCCUAAACUCCUGAUUAAACUUGUAAAUCAGUUACAGUCAGGUUUUCCAGCUCGUUUCAGUGGCAGUGGAUCUGGAUCUGAUUUCACUCUGACCAUCAGUGGAGUCCAGACUGAAGAUGCAGGAGAUUACUACUGUCAGAGUGGACAUUCCAUCACUGGCUACUGGUUCACACAGUGUUAAAGAGUCGUACAAAAACCUCCCUCAGUCAGAUUGUAGAGAGACUGCACUGCUGCAGCUGGGAGCGACUGCAGGUGCUGAGUUGUAGGAUGUGAUACGACACAAUGACACUCUGUGGAGGAGAGGAACCACACCAUACUAACUCACAACUCAUAUUACAAAUCUCUCAAUAAUCAUCACACCACACUGCACACAGUCCAUCACAUCCACUACUUUAAGAUAAUUCGUUUUUUUAGUUUGCUGAGGUGCUAUUUGUCAUAACUGAAACUGUUUGGUGGAUAAUUUUUUUUUUCAGUCUCUAUCACUAAUCCUGCCCCCAUUACAGUCUCUGAUUCUGACCUGAUAUCAGUCACUGUUAUUAAUCUUAUUAAAAUUAGUCUCGUGUGUGUUUCAGGUCACACUCUGGCCCUGCUCUGGAUUCUGGCUCAGUCACUGGUGUAGCUCCUCCUGUCCUUUAACAGCUGCCCUCUAACACACAAUAGUGUAAACUUUUUUGGACCUGGUCUUCAUCCAUCCUUCAUCAGCUCUAGAUAUCAGCAUUACCAUUUCUAUCUGUUCCUGUCAUUACAGAAGUUUCGUGUCCAGUUUGUCUCACCUGUUGUCCUGUUCUGUUGUACUCCUAGUGCACUUUGAGUUCUUCUGUGUAAUUAUGUGUAUGUUAUUAAUAUUCUGAGUCUUUAUGAGGAAAAGUAAUUAGAUUUCAUUCAGUUUUAUAUGAAAGAAGUUGUAAGAAAACGUAUGAACACUAGCCUGCCCCUAAUCCUAACCAUAGCCACUAAUUUUUGUGACAUUGUAUGAGACCACAUUGAAAUAAUACACGUCCUGCUCUCUACUUUUAGCUCAAGUCAUUCACCUUUCAUUUUUACACACUUGUGUACAUUUAUGUAUGGACAUAUUGUAAUUUUGAUUUGUUACACCUGCUUUCAGUUCAGUAAGAUGUUCACAUAUUUCCCAUCCAGUUAAAGUUUUUUUUUUAUCCUUGAUUUUUAAUUUACUGAUUUAUUGCUUUUAUCCAAAGAGAUAUAAAAGUGAUUAAAACAUAUCUUAUUUUCCAUGAAUUUUGCAUACUCAGGACCUUCAGAAAUGGCUGAAAGUCAUAUACAACAUUCCUGUAAACAGCCCUGUAGGAGCCUGACCUGACUGUGUGUGUGUGUGAAAAUGGACAAGAUUUUGGUCUUGAAUAGUACUCUAUUACUGCCUUGAUAUGUGUUUCUUUCUUAGUCUUGGUGCUAGUUUCUGGGUCUUUCUUGUUUUUUUUUUUUUACUAGUUUUCCUUGUCUUGUCUAAAUUCUUGUUUUGCCCUUGUUU